rnacentral:rRNA from 1 species
GAUGAACGCUGGCGGCGUGCCUAAUAAAUGCAAGUCGAGCGAACGGACGAGAAGCUUGCUUCUCUGAUGUUAGCGGCGGACGGGUGAGCAACACGUGGAUAACCUACCUAUAAGACUGGGAUAACUUCGGGAAACCGGAGCUAAUACCGGAUAAUAUUUUGAACCGCAUGGUUCAAAAGUGAAAGACGGUCUUGCUGUCACUUAUAGAUGGAUCCGCGCUGCAUUAGCUAGUUGGUAAGGUAACGGCUUACCAAGGCAACGAUGCAUAGCCGACCUGAGAGGGUGAUCGGCCACACUGGAACUGAGACACGGUCCAGACUCCUACGGGAGGCAGCAGUAGGGAAUCUUCCGCAAUGGGCGAAAGCCUGACGGAGCAACGCCGCGUGAGUGAUGAAGGUCUUCGGAUCGUAAAACUCUGUUAUUAGGGAAGAACAUAUGUGUAAGUAACUGUGCACAUCUUGACGGUACCUAAUCAGAAAGCCACGGCUAACUACGUG